UACGGGGGGGAGCUAGCGUUGUUCGGAAUUACUGGGCGUAAAGCGCACGUAGGCGGCUUUGUAAGUUAGAGGUGAAAGCCCGGGGCUCAACCCCGGAAUUGCCUUUAAGACUGCAUCGCUUGAAUCCGGGAGAGGUGAGUGGAAUUCCGGAGUGUAGAAGGUGAAAUUCGUAGAUAUUCGGAAGAACACCAGUGGCGAAGGCGGCUCACUGGACCCGGUAUUGACGCUG
rnacentral:rRNA from 1 species